GCAGUAGUGUAGAGAUUGGU
rnacentral:miRNA from 3 species